rnacentral:lncRNA from 1 species
UCCAUCCACCCACGUCUGAGUGAAGUCAAUGGGGCCGGCAGAGCAAUCACGGGCUCUAAGCAUAACUCCCUUUGCCAUUUCUAGCAAAGGUUCACAAUAUCCCACAAGAUACCAGAGUACAAAAGGGUAGUAUGAACAAUAACAUUGACACAUAUCAGAAGCACAUGCGGAACAACGAAGAUAUGCAUAUGCCUUUAUCAAACAAGGAAAUGCAAACAAAGCAUUACAUAAUAAAUUUCAGUUAUACAAUAAUUUCAGGAUGAACAAUACAAGAACUUCAAAGUACUAAUAUAAAGCUAUUUUGAAGAAGAAUUUAGCAGAAAUCAUAUUUCCAAUAGGAUGAAAAUUGAAUAGGCAAAACCCAACAAAGUUUUCAAUUAUGACAUAAUUUGAAUGGUAUAUUUUCUGAAUUGUUUGAGUGACCAAAUAUGCUCCAAAUCACUAAAAUUAGGAGUCAUUGGAAAUCUGUAUCAAUCUAUUUUCCGUUGAACUCAGAUUUAUAAUUUUUUGAGUUCUUGACAGGAAGUUACAACAAAUAGAGUAAAGGAAGGUCAGAAUUGAUCAUCCCUGUUUUGCAGACUUGAUAGAAUCAAUUUAAACAGAUGUUUCAGAAGGCAAACAUACUUCAAAAUUUCCAACUAGGUAUCAAAAGAAAGAUAUGCGAAUCUAGUUUCCAAAGAACUAAGCUUUGUAUAAUUCAGAAUUUUCUCUAGAGAGUUAUGAGCAAUUUAGUAACAGAAGGUCAGAAAUUUCAGUCCCUAUUUUGCAGAAUCUGUAGGGUUAAUUGAAACAGAAGUCUUAGUAGGCAUUUAAACUCCAA